rnacentral:rRNA from 1 species
AUUGAACGCUGGCGGCAGGCUUAACACAUGCAAGUCGAGCGGAGAUGAGGUGCUUGCACCUUAUCUUAGCGGCGGACGGGUGAGUAAUGCUUAGGAAUCUGCCUAUUAGUGGGGGACAACAUUCCGAAAGGAAAGCUAAUACCGCAUACGCCCUACGGGGGAAAGCAGGGGAUCUUCGGACCUUGCGCUAAUUGAUGAGCCUAAGUCGGAUUAGCUAGUUGGUGGGGUAAAGGCCUACCAAGGCGACGAUCUGUAGCGGGUCUGAGAGGAUGAUCCGCCACACUGGGACUGAGACACGGCCCAGACUCCCACGGGAGGCAGCAGUGGGGAAUAUUGGACAAUGGGCGGAAGCCUGAUCCAGCCAUGCCGCGUGUGUGAAGAAGGCCUUUUGGUUGUAAAGCACUUUAAGCGAGGAGGAGGCUACCUGGAUUAAUACUCUAGGAUAGUGGACGUUACUCGCAGAAUAAGCACCGGCUAACUCUGUGCCAGCCGCCGCCGUAACAC